rnacentral:rRNA from 1 species
UACGUAGGGUGCAAGCGUUGUCCGGAAUUAUUGGGCGUAAAGAGCGCGCAGGCGGUCGUGCAAGUCGCGUGUGAAAGCCCCCGGCUCAACUGGGGAGGGUCACGCGAUACUGCUCGACUCGAAGGCAGGAGAGGGAAGUGGAAUUCCCGGUGUAGUGGUGAAAUGCGUAGAUAUCGGGAGGAACACCAGUGGCGAAGGCGACUUCCUGGCCUGUUCUUGACGCUGAGGCGCGAAAGCGUGGGGAGCGAACAGG